rnacentral:rRNA from 1 species
UACGGAGGAUCCAAGCGUUAUCCGGAUUCAUUGGGUUUAAAGGGUGCGUAGGCGGAAUAAUAAGUCAGAGGUGAAAGCCUGCAGCUCAACUGUAGAAUUGCCUUUGAUACUGUUGUUCUUGAGUACAUUUGAUGUGGGCGGAAUGUGUCAUGUAGCGGUGAAAUGCUUAGAUAUGACACAGAACACCGAUUGCGAAGGCAGCUCACAAAACUGUUACUGACGCUGAGGCACGAAAGCGUGGGGAGCGAACAGG